ACAUAUACAUUUAAUACUUACAAGAUCCUUAAUAUGUUGUAUUGUUUUUUUUUGUUUUUUGUUUUCUUAUUUUUCAUUUAAUAAUUCGUUUUCCUGUUUUCUACUUAUAUUAGUUAUGUCUUGCAUUAUACUGUGAACAUGUUUCUUGUUUUUAUUAAAAACGUAUAAAAUGGAAGUUUAUUUCCUGAAUAUGCAGAGGCGACGAAUUUCCAUGCAAUACCAUUGCUAAGAACAGACAUGUGAUUAUAACUGGAGGCACGCAGUUCAUAAAGUUUUCAUACUUGCCCGCCUUUUCCGAACGAAAAAUAUG
rnacentral:lncRNA from 1 species